GUUCUUAAUCCAACAUCGAGGUCGCAAUUUAUUUUGUAAAUGAGAACUUCUCAAAAAUUUUGCGCUGUUAUCCCUUAGGUAACUUGUUUUAUUUCAUAUUUGGAUAAUUUAAUUUGAUUUAAAUCAUUUUUUUAUAUCUAAAGAUUUAUUUAUUUAAAAAUCUCCCCAAUCUAACAAAUUAACCAAAUGAAAUUAAGUUAAUUUGUAAAGUUCUAAAGGGUCUUCUUGUCUUUUGAUUUUAUUUAAGAUUUUUCACUUAAAUAUUAAUUUUUACUACUUUAGUUUAAAAAGCUUGUUUCACAUUAUUUCUUUCAUUCAAGCUUUUAAUUAUAAAGCAACUUAUUAUGCUACCUUAGUACAGUUAAUUUACUGCAGCUAUUUAAUUUACUCAUUGAGCAGAAUUUAUCUAAA
rnacentral:rRNA from 1 species